CCUAGACACACACCAGCCAAUCAGGGGUCCCAAACCUUGGAAAUCACUUAUCCCCACCUUUGCUACUACAACAAUCCAACCCCAACUGAGCUGGGUACGUUGGACACAGAGAGAGACUGAGUUUGCAAACGUGUAAGAAUAAAGACUCUGCUUUUACAUACAAGACUCAGUCGCCUAGUUGGUUUGGGGGGACUUCAUGAUCUGGAUAUAAUAUUUAGGAGCUUGUCCAGGAUCCCCCAGGCCCACCAGGCCCACCGCCCUGUAGAGCUGUCAUCAGCUGUACCAAUCAACUUCAAGAGGAUGAUGGGCAUUGAAGAGGCUCCUUAGGGAGUUGAUAGCCAUUUGGACAAGAAACUGCCCUUACCUGGACUUGAUGGUAUACUGUAUGAACUGGUCAUGCAGGACCCACAGAGAAAUGACUGCUGGACUUGUCUAAAGGGAACAAAAGUGUGGCUCAGUAGUACAUCUCUUGCCUGGCAUGCAUGAAGCCCUGGAUUUGAUACCCUACACAGCAAAACAGAAGGGGGAAAAUUUCCCAUUGCACUGGGGAAUGCUGGAUAACACACCUGGAAACUCAUGACGAUUCAACUCUAAUAAACGCCCACAAAAUUUACCAAAGGUCCACAGUGUCAAAGUGGAUGCUGCAUGCUGGGUGUCUCUGUCCUAGUUUUCACUCCGAUGAAGCUCUGUGUGCUAGAUUCUUCAUUACUGCAACGAAAUACCAGAUACGGAAGAUGUAAGGUCCUGCUUCAGCGUACACAGCCUGUGCGCAGGGCCCCACCACUAGUGCUCAGUGCUCUGAACUUUGAAUAAUCAUAUCUUUGACUUGUACUCUGUGAAGGAAGCCCAAUGGGACAAUGAAGCUGUGUGUGGGCCGAGGAGAAACUGCCCACAUGCUUGCCCUCUCCUCUCACCUGCCCUGUUGGCAUACACAAAAACACUUCAUCACAGAACCCAAGUGCACCCGCAGUACCUGGGCACUCAGCAAGAAAGCAAGUACAGCGUAAGUGUGGUAUUUCUACUGCUGGACCCAUAGUGGAACCUGUUCCUGCCGUCAACACAGAAAGAAGAUAACGACUGUCUCCAAAACAGUCGCGGGACAAUAUGACCAAGGGAUACUAUGGCAUCUUUUCUUUCUAAAUUAAAAAAAAAAACUUUAUGUACAUAUUUGUUUGUUUGUGGUAGUGGAGACAGGUGGUUUGGGGUGGAGUGGGGGAGUCUGUGUUAU